rnacentral:rRNA from 1 species
UUGGAGGGCAAGUCUGGUGCCAGCAGCCGCGGUAAUUCCAGCUCCAAUAGCGUAUAUUAAAGUUGUUGCAGUUAAAAAGCUCGUAGUUGAAUUUCGGGAUCAAAUUGUCGGUCGUGCCUCGGUACGCACUGGUAUUAUUGGUUCCUACCUUCUGAAGAACCGCGAUGUCAUUAAUUUGGUGUCGUGGGGAAUCAGGACUGUUACUUUGAAAAAAUUAGAGUGUUUAAAGCAAGCUUACGCUUGAAUACAUUAGCAUGGAAUAAUGAAAUAGGACGUUUGAUUCUAUUUUGUUGGUUUCUAGGAUUGACGUAAUGAUUAAUAGGGAUAGUUGGGGGCAUUAGUAUUCAAUUGUCAGAGGUGAAAUUCUUGGAUUUAUUGAAGACUAACUACUGCGAAAGCAUCUGCCAAGGAUGUUUUCAUUAAUCAAGAACGAAAGUUGGGGGAUCGAAGACGAUCAGAUACCGUCGUAGUCUUAACCAUAAACUAUGCCGACUAGGGAUCGGAUGAUGUUGAUUUUUUAAUGACUCAUUCGGCGCCUUACGGGAAACCAAAGUGUUUGGGUUC